GCAUCAGUGGUGUAGCGGUAACAUUGGGUCUUCCCAGAUUAUGUGAUGUCAAUUGGCCUAGCUCCGGGUUCGACUCCCGGCUGAUGCA